GAACAAGAAGAGGAAUCGAUCGAGGGACCGAAGACGCAAGAUGUUGCCGGUGUUGCGGUAAAAGAAAGUUGUGCAGAUUUGGUUCCCACUCCCACUAUUCUAUUUUACCCUGGGUACAUCAAUGUAGCUACACCUGUUACAAUACGCUGUGAGUCACCAAAAGGCACAGAGUGCAAAUUCUACAAAGAUCACGACCCCAACCCUAUAAGGAAACUGGAUUACAAGCAGGGUGCUUGCCAGUUCAAGUUGCUCUGGAAUGAGUUCAAAAGGUGGAACAAGACUGAAGUAGAUCUCAGCUGUGUAAUUGUACAGAACAGAGAAGGUGAAACGAUCAAAACCUCAAAACCUAGUGAUGCUCGAAGACUUAAUGUGGGUGACAAUGGCUGUUUGGGGAGAGUGGCAGAAGAGGAACUGCAGAGGAAGAGGAGCAGUGCUGGAGAGAUCUUCAUCACCUGUGCUGUGGAGCUGGUGGUAGAGGGUGAAGAUACUGUGACAUCACAGCAUAGUGAACCCCUCGGUAUCACCAUAGAUGUCAUAAAUCCUCCAGGAGCUACUAAUUCCACAUCAGCGUUCAGUUUAAUCACACCUGGUCAGGAGAAGACAAGCAACAGUGCCACACCCCAAGGAAGUGGUACAAAGUUCCACGUCGUCAUCAGUCUGGGUACUUGUUCCCUUUUCCUGGUUCUGCUAGCUGGGUGUGUGCUGGGUGUUCUCCAACGCAAGUGUGGGGUUCAAGGCAGGCCUGUAAAUACUGGAAGCCCACCUGAACAGCAAGACCAAAACCCACCAUGUGUCUAUUCUGUCAUCACAAAGCCUUCUAGGGAUGAGGAAGAGGACACUAGUCUGCAAUACGCUACAGUGACAUAUACCGGUGUCCAAGCUAGUCGUCAAUAUGCAACAGUGACAUCUACCGGUAACCAAGUUGAACCUGGGCGCACCAAGAUCAAGUUUGAAAUAGCUGGAGAGUACGCCCUCUUAGCAGAAUCAUAGAAGAAGAAACAUUUACUGGAUAACAUGUUUUGCC
ensembl:lncRNA